rnacentral:tRNA from 1 species
GAUCGGUUGGCUCAGUGGUUAGAGCUUAGGUCUCGUAACCGAACGGUCGCGGGAUCGAAUUUCUAUAAAGUG